rnacentral:rRNA from 1 species
CGGACGGGUGAGUAACGCGUAAGAACUUGCCCUUUAGACUGGGAUAACAGAGGGAAACUUCUGAUAAUACUGGAUAAGUUAGUAUAUCGCAUGAUAUGCAAAUGAAAGCUACGGCACUAACGGAGAGCUUUGCGUCCUAUUAGCUAGUUGGUAAGGUAAGAGCUUACCAAGGCGAUGAUAGGUAGCCGGCCUGAGAGGGUGGACGGCCACAAGGGGACUGAGAUAUGGCCCUUACUCCUACGGGAGGCAGCAGCG